AUUUACUGCCACAGAUUAUACUUAAUACUGGCUUAGUAUAUUAUUAAACAGCUAGCAAUAUUUUAGCAUGUUAAUUAAAGCUAAUUAAAUCAAAGUGGUUUUAAUAAAACUGACAUUACCCAAAUAAUAAAAGUAACUCAAAGUGAAGAGCUCCGGUUCAGUUAAACAGUGAAUUGUGAAUAAAAUUCUGUGUGGAGCAUAGGAUUGUGUUAGUUCUGAUACUCAAUCCUGCGAGUUUAGCUGAGGUGAACAAUCAUAGUGAAGACGUUUCGACGAGGACGCUGAAAAACGUGCUUCUUAGAUACACGCCUUCCUGUUCGGUUGGUACUCAUUUCGUUUGUGUUUAUUCGUAGCUAUAUUUACGUGUGUGUCGCGUAAAUGUCACAUAAUCCUGUUUCUUCUGACAAAUAACUUUCACUAACUGUGUAGCGAUUAAAAUGCAUUACUGCGAUGAUAUUGUAAAUGCUGUGAUACGUAAGGAAUAAAACACUCCGUGCCAUGCUGUUAUAGGAACAUAAUCAACAAACAAUGAAGUGGAGUUACCGAGUUACUGUUACCGGUCUGACAUUUGUUUUGUGAAACAUACAAAGGAAAAUGUGUGCACUCGUUGAAACGGAGAUGGAAGGAGUCUCCAGUGUCAGAGGUAACACUGUAACUUUACGUUUUCUGAUGUCUUCAGAACAGACUAGUUAGACCCCAACCUGACACGACUUUCUCAGUGACCUUCGUUCUUUUCACUGGUUGAGAGAAAUCUCUGAAAUGCCUAAGAGGACGGAACCGUAAUGAUGUCUGAACAAAAAUUUGACACCGUAGUCAUUUAUCUUGACUCCAACACCGUGAUAUGAGCUACUUAGCUGUGUUCGCACAUGUCCGGACCAAACCUUGUCUCUACACCGUCAGCUGCUCGUGUGUGAAGCGGAUCGGGUCAUUAGCCGUAUGUUAGCUUAGGAUGGUUCAGGUGUCACGGGACGCUUGAAGAAGCUCACAUUUAGUGCAGUCUUUCUAAAUGGAAAAUUCUCUAUAGAGGAUCAUUAAAGAGGAAACAGUGAUUUAAGGUUUUGUUGUUGACGUGCAUGUUCUGUGUCGAAUCAGCACUGACUCUUCUGUUCCAUCUAAAUAAAGUUUUCUAAAGCUUUUAGCAAAGAUGAACGCAUCACACUGCAGCUAGUGUGUUAGCUCAAACUCUUGUUAUUGUACUGAAACAUAACGUCAGUUCAGCAUACUAAUAUCGCACGCACCUAUAAAUCUGCUGAUUCGGCACCAACUGUUAAUUCACUUUAUUUAAGAUAGCUGUUACCUUUUUUAAUCUAACAACGCUUAGCUUACUGACCUGAGAUAUGACUCAUUAGAGUCAGGAAUAAACCACUGAGAGUGUGUGUGUGUGUGUGUGUGUGUGUGUGUGUGUGUGUGUGUGUGCACUGGCAUAGUAAAUUAAUCAACAACGGGGUGAUGUGAUUGAGCAGGGUUACCACCCGGAAGUGGAUUAUUUUCCUAUAACAACACGACCCCAAUGGUCCCCAACAGCAACUUAACAAUGAUUACAAUUAAUUUAUUAAAGAACAACAAAGAAUCUGUUGUGGAAUGACAUUACAUUAUAGCAGCUCUGAAUAGUCAUUUCCUCAACAGCCUCUCUUUAUUCUUUCUCUAAGACUAAAAAAAAAAACUGCAGCUUGUCGUGUUACAGAGAAACCGCAAAGUAGUAUAAACUCGUCUGUCCUGAAGAUGAACAAAACUUAAAGUUACAGCUUUACCUCUGACACUGGAGACACCUUCCAUACAUGUUAAAAAACAUCUCCUUACAAAUCAACGAUUACGCGGUUCAUACGUCCAUAGUAUAUGUCCCUCUGAACGGUCUGUUACUAUAGAAACGAUAGCGCAUUAGAUUCGAAUGAGCGCAUUAAUAUAAACCUGUGAUUUGCAACUGCACUACUGUCCGAGCUGCCGUUAUAGAGAAUUAAUCAACACCUCCUGACCAAUCACAAUCCAGAACAGCUUACAGACUCAAUUUUGAUUCAAAUCAGGAUUUCUCAGGACAUGUUCAUGUUCGGUGAACAGGAUUAUGGGAAGAGGUUUACACGUGUAACAAAUGCGUUAUUGUUAGCUGAUUUUCAGGACAUGCUUAUUCUGAAUUAGCAUGAUUUUGUCUUCUUAAAAGCUAGCUUACACACAGAGACGAGGUGUCCGUGACAACGUAUGUAAAUCUUCACUGUGCUUCAUGUUUUAUUUAUCCAUUUGGUAAGAAAACGGCGUUAUUAGCUGCCUGUGCUCACGGGAGAGUUCGCGAACUCGGUAACCCCGUGAAGCUCGAUGUUCAGCAGAACUGAAACAACGAGCUCUGAAACUUUACGAGGCUCGUAAAAAGGCCUCGCGACGAGGACGCUCAGCAGGGAGGACGAGAAACGAGCGGAGUUCCCUUCAAUCACACCCAUACUGUGAUUUAUCGAAAGGUGAAUUGGGAGUUGUGUGUGUGUGUGUGUGUGUGUGUGUGUGUGUGUGUGUGACGACGUUGUGAACGAGGCAGCAAGAAAAGUGAGGGACUUUUAGGGGCAGCUGUGUUCUGCUAACUCAGUCAUAAUGCCCCUGAAAAUCCUUAUUGCUCUUGCAAUGCUCAGCGAUGAUCCCGACAGGAAAGACUGAUCCUGCACUCCGGAAUCGUACACAACAGGAUUUCAGGAUUCUGAGAUCCCAGAUUCGGUGUGUGACUGUAAUAGGAGAUGUUCGAGGCAGAUAAAUGUUUCCUCUGUGUGUGUUGUCCUAAUUCAGGCCCGUGAUUCAUCUCCUCAUGUUAGUUAUCUCAUUUUCUUAUUCAUUUCUCUCUCCAUCGGUCUUUCUCCCUCUCCUUCUGUCUCUCCGUACCACUGUCUCACUCUCUCCAUCUAUGUGUCUCUCUCUCUCUGUCUGCCUGCCUCCCCUUGUCCCUCUCCUUGUCUCUUCAUCUAUCUGUGUGUGUGUGAGUGUGUGUGUGUGAGAGAGAGAGAGAGAGAGAGAGCAUUUUGGGAAUGUGAAUGGGGGAAUACCGGACUGAUCUCCAGGUUUGUCUCCCCAGCACAUAUAAAGCUAUUCUGCCUCUGGACUCAGAUAAAGAUAGAGAAAGAGAGAGAGAGAGAGACACUGAUACAGUUAGACUGUGUGUGUGUGUGUGUGUGUGAGUGUGUGUGUGUGUGUGUGCGUGUUUGUGUGUGUGUGUGUGUGUAUGAGAUGAUCAUGGAUGACUCAGACUCAUGCUCUUCUCUGAACAGAGAGAAAAAUGGGGAACACUGACUCAUCCAAACAUGUGGAAUCUCAUACGCUGAUCACAUGACCCAGCCUACUCCGCUUCUGAUUGGUCCCGGCGCUGGAUCGAGAUCAAGCAGUCCCACAUCCCCUUUUUUCCCCUCCCUACAUGAAUCCACAUUCUUCAUUAACAAUAAUUCAGCACGGGAUACUUUAAGGAGGAUGAACAGGAGCAAAACGUUAGACACAAGCGUUGUUUUUGGAGGAAAAUGUUUCAAAAAAGUUUACCAGAAUGACAGCGUAGUGUGGAUAAAAAACAAGCGCAGGUUUUCUCCCGUGCUCAAGUCGGCUAACACGCCCAGAACUAACCGGUGGAGAUUCCAAUAGAGCAAAUGGAGCGAUGGGGGUUCAUGAGUCAUCGAUGGAUUGGAACACGCCCUGCAAACGCAUGGCAGGUAGAAACUCCAGGCUCUCCUCCUACUCCUCCUCAGGCCGUUUGGGUGUGGGACGAUCGGCGUUAGCUGAGGAGGCAGAAGAAAAAAAAACAGAAAAACGGAGAGGAGUAAACAUAACUGACAAAGACAGGGGUGAACGAGUGCAGCCCCCUCCCUCCUUCUCUCCUUUCCCCUGCACACUCCUCCACUCCUUGUGGAGCCCCUCGAGUGAAAAACCAACCCAACCUGCUCCGUGCACAGGCUCGUUCGUGGAAACCUCGUCUGACGACCUCUUGUGCAAAUAUACGAGUGGUUACAAUGCGUUUGUUGUGGUCGUUUUUUCCUUGGGCGUUGUCCUGCUAGAACGCUCAGAACCUUCAACACUUUGUAGUUUGAUAUUUAUUUUUACGUGCCCCGGUAAUGUUUUUUUUCUACUUCCAAAAGUGACCUCGUUUCAUUCCGGGAGCCGUCAUCGCUGAGGCCUGCAGCGUCCUCUCAGGAAUUGACACUUGGACGGAAUCUCACAGUGUGAAGCGACCUGGAGCUCUCUGAGCGUCCGGCAUGGCAGCAAACAGCUUCUGAUGCGUUGAUGUUGCACAACGUGCCUGAAUAUGGGAGUGCAGGCUGCGUAAACAGUGUGCGCUUGGCUGUGGGGAGUGUGUGUACUUUCACCACCCUCGCCUCACGCUCCACUUCACCCUGACCACCACGCCAUUCAUGCACUUUAACUUUAACAAGUAGUGAACAUUUUUGACUACAGUGGUUUAACAUGGGCAGUCAUUUACUUGUCUAAUACACACUAUGGAUGCAGCAGGUUUUUUCGUUUGUCGUUACCAAAAUGAGUAACUUUCUUAGCAUUAAUGAAUCACAUACAUUACAGAACUGUUUUAUUUACCAUUGGUUGGUUGUUGUCAUGUGCCCGCGAUGAACUCCUCGUACUGAGUUUUAUGUUUAAGAUGUUUAAUACAGCGCAAGAAUGCGGUCUAGAGGUCGACAAGAUAGUGGAUUUAACUAAGUUGCGCUGCUGAAAACCCAUUAAUCAACUAAUCUUUUUGCUCAUAACCAGCAAUCGGUUAUUGGUGCCAAUUAAUCAGCAAAACCGAUCAACCGGCCGACCUCUAAUGCGGACCAACCUGGAAAGUGGGCAUGUCUCAGUGCUCGCAGAAGUGAAAUGAUCUCUGUCACAUGCGACAGUUUCUCUGUACACGCGCUUCACUGCUACUUUUGUGUUUGCACAAUUCAUAGCGCUCAAAAUGUAUGCAAUCUGAACUAACCUCGCGUACUUCGUGUGCUAAUUCGCUUUCAGUAAUCACUUAGAAAGGCAAAAUUCUUCCAAGUCUGUAAUCUUUCAUUGAAGUGCAGCGACGUUUCCUCGCCUCUAAACAGCCACACGUGUCAUGUGGGUAAUACGAAACGAGUAUCGAAGCUUAGUAGUGGACUUUGUAUCAAAACGUGGUUAUAGCUGUGUAUUCAUUGUUGCUAGGGAACUGGAUAUAUUCACGAUUUAGCUAGCCAGUUUAUGGCAGUUAAGUCGUCUAUAUGUGCAGUGACGAUGAAAACGAGUCAAAAAUAUCAAAAUUACUAGUAAAAUAUACUGUUCGUCUAAAACAAUACUGUACUUAUAUACACUUAGCAUCGCCCACCAACCAAACAUCUGCAUUACUGAGAUGUGAACUUUUUAUGAAGUGAAAAAACACACAAAUAGAGCAAGAGUGAACGUUUUUUAUGGAAUCUUCUGACCCGUGCCUGCAUUCAAAGCCUUUGAAGUCUUUUUUUAAAAAGGAGAAUCUCUCUCAUAAAUCUUAAUGCCCUGGACUGUCACAUGGCUCCUUGGUGUGUUUAAACGGCUCGUCUCAUUUUCAAAACAAAUUUCUCGUCACUUAAGUGAGAGAUAUUUUUAGGAUGUUCUGGGUGGAACUUCCCUUCAGGCUAUGACGAAAGAUAUGGUCUUUAGUAACAUGACGUGUUGUGCAACGCGCUAAUAAAUCUCACUUCGUGCAGCAUAACUAUUAAAACGGCUCUUUAAAGCAGAGAGGGAUUUUAGCCUUAAGGAUUUCAUAUCAGAGGAACAGAACCCUCAGAUUUCUCUGCUGUAGAAAACUCGAAACACUAAGAUGCUUUCAUAUUUGGCUUUUUUUUUUUCAAAAAAAAGAAAGAAAAAUCAUUGGCUGAUAUGAAAACAAAAGCCCACAUGCUCACAUGACCUGCACACUCUUGUAACCAUGACAACACUCUUACCAGUCCUAUCUAAGUUAAAGUGGGACGUCGCAUCCCAAAAAUACACACGUUCUUAUUUUUUGGUUUCAUUGUUGGAAUAUGACCAAUUAUUCAACUGUAAAAUGUAGCGUUCACUCGUUCACUAACGGAAAACUUAAAGUUACAGCUUCACAAAGCGCCAACACUGGAGACUCCUUCCACAAAUCUAAACCACAUCAAUGAUUGCACAUGUAUUAGAACGAGCGCAUUAAUAUUAAUAUAAACCCGUGAUUUGCAGCUGCGCUACCGUCAGAGCUGCUGUUCUUGAAAAUUAAUCAACACCUUCGGACCAAUCACGAUCCAGAAUCCAACAUCGCUGUGGGAUAAG
ensembl:lncRNA